GAAUCCUUACCGACUCCCGCGUAAUGCAUCUAAAUUGGUNNGUUGAUUCUAUGGCUCANACUGAGACGCUCGGCNGUACAGCCUAACACAUGCAAGUCGAACGGCAGCACAGGAGAGCUUGCUCUCUGGGUGGCGAGUGGCGGACGGGUGAGGAAUACAUCGGAAUCUACUCUGUCGUGGGGGAUAACGUAGGGAAACUUACGCUAAUACCGCAUACGACCUACGGGUGAAAGCAGGGGACCUUCGGGCCUUGCGCGAUUGAAUGAGCCGAUGUCGGAUUAGCUAGUUGGCGGGGUAAAGGCCCACCAAGGCGACGAUCCGUAGCUGGUCUGAGAGGAUGAUCAGCCACACUGGAACUGAGACACGGUCCAGACUCCUACGGGAGGCAGCAGUGGGGAAUAUUGGACAAUGGGCGCAAGCCUGAUCCAGCCAUACCGCGUGGGUGAAGAAGGCCUUCGGGUUGUAAAGCCCUUUUGUUGGGAAAGAAAUCCAGCUGGCUAAUACCCGGUUGGGAUGACGGU
rnacentral:rRNA from 1 species